rnacentral:rRNA from 1 species
AGCGAACGCUGGCGGUAGGCCUAACACAUGCAAGUCGAACGGCAGCACAGUAAGAGCUUGCUCUUACGGGUGGCGAGUGGCGGACGGGUGAGGAAUACAUCGGAAUCUACUUUUUCGUGGGGGAUAACGUAGGGAAACUUACGCUAAUACCGCAUACGACCUACGGGUGAAAGCAGGGGAACUUCGGACCUUGCGCGAUUGAACGAGCCGAUGUCGGAUUAGCUAGUUGGCGGGGUAAAGGCCCACCAAGGCGAGGAUCCGUAGCUGGUCUGAGAGGCUGAUCGGCCACACUGGAACUGAGACACGGUCCAGACUCCUACGGGAGGCCGCAGUGGGGAAUAUUGGACAAUGGGCGCAAGCCUGAUCCAGCCAUACCGCGUGGGUGAAGAAGGCCUUCGGGUUGUAAAGCCCUUUUGUUGGGAAAGAAAAGCAGCAGGUUAAUACCCCGCUGUUCUGACGGUACCCAAAGAAUAAGCACCGGCUAACUUCGUG